rnacentral:misc_RNA from 1 species
GAUGAAGAACGUAGCGAAAUGCGAUAAGUAAUGUGAAUUGCAGAAUUCAGUGAAUCAUCGAAUCUUUGAACGCACAUUGCGCCCGUCAGUAUUCUGGCGGGCAUGCCUGUUCGAGCGUCAUUACGCCCCUCAAGUCCCCUGUGGACUUGGUGUUGGGGAUCGGCGAGGCUGGUUUUCCAGCACAGCCGUCCCUUAAAUUAAUUGGCGGUCUCGCCGUGGCCCUCCUCUGCGCAGUAGUAAAACACUCGCAACAGGAGCCCGGCGCGGUCCACUGCCGUAAAACCCCCCAACUUUUUAUAGUUGACCUCGAAUCAGGUAGGACUACCCGCUGAACUUAAGCAUAUCACUAAGCGGAGGA